rnacentral:tRNA from 1 species
AAGUUUAGGUUAAACAAACCAGGAGCCUUCAAAGCCCCAAACAAGAAUAAAUCUUAACUUCUG